GACGACAACGCGCCUCUGUCAUAGGAAGGCAAACUAAACCUCUGGCGUGCGUUACCAUAAAGUUAAUGGCUUCUGGCGUGACAUGCUCUGCUGCCAUAAU
rnacentral:antisense_RNA from 1 species